rnacentral:misc_RNA from 1 species
AAGUCGUAACAAGGUUUCCGUAGGUGAACCUGCGGAAGGAUCAUUAGCGAAGUUCGGAAUGCAUGUUCGGUGUUGAUGCUGCCCAGCGAUGGGAUGUGCUCGCUCGGAUGUGUGUCCCUUCUCUAUCCACCCCACUGUGAACCAAGUGUGUGAGCCGAAGAGAAAUCGGACGCUCGCAUGCAAACCUUUAACAUACCCCAAUGAAGUAUCAGAAUGUACCUUGCGUUAACUCGCACAAAUAUAACUUUCAACAACGGAUCUCUUGGCUCUC